AUGAUAUCAAAGGAGCAAUCCGCUUUGAGAUGGACUCGCGUCCAAUUAGCUAGUUGGUGAGGUAACGGCCCACCAAGGCGACGAUUGGUAGCCGGACUGAGAGGUUGAACGGCCACAUUGGGACUGAGACACGGCCCAGACUCCUACGGGAGGCAGCAGUGGGGAAUAUUGCACAAUGGGGGAAACCCUGAUGCAGCGACGCCGCGUGAGGGAAGAAGGUUUUCGGAUUGUAAACCUCUGUCCUUGGUGACGAUAAUGACGGUAGCCAAGGAGGAAGCCACGGCUAACUACGUGCCAGCAGCCGCGGUAAUACGUAGGUGGCAAGCGUUGUCCGGAAUUACUGGGUGUAAAGGGAGCGUAGGCGGGGAAGCAAGUUGAAUGUUAAAUCUAUGGGCUCAACCCAUAAGAGCGUUCAAAACUGUUUUUCUUGAGUGAAGUAGAGGCAAGCGGAAUUCCUAGUGUAGCGGUGAAAUGCGUAAAUAUUAGGAGGAACACCAGUGGCGAAGGCGGCUUGCUGGGCUUUAACUGACGCUGAGGCUCGAAAGCGUGGGUAGCAAACAGGAUUAGAUACCCUGGUAGUCCACGCUGUAAACGAUGAUUACUAGGUGUGGGGGGACUGACCCCUUCCGUGCCGCAGUUAACACAAUAAGUAAUCCACCUGGGGAGUACGACCGCAAGGUUGAAACUCAAAGGAAUUGACGGGGGCCCGCACAAGCAGUGGAGUAUGUGGUUUAAUUCGAAGCAACGCGAAGAACCUUACCAGGUCUUGACAUCCUUGGACCGCUUAAGAGAUUAAGCUUU
rnacentral:rRNA from 1 species